rnacentral:rRNA from 1 species
GGGCUUGACAUCCCACGAACCUGAUAGAGAUAUCGGGGUGCCGCAAGGACGUCUGUAGAGGUGCUGCAUGGCUGUCGUCAGCUCGUGUCGUGAGAUGUUGGGUUAAGUCCCGCAACGAGCGCAACCCUCACCCCUUGUUGCCACCAGGUAAUGCUGGGCACUCUAGGGGAACUGCCCCGGUCAACGGGGAGGAAGGCGGGGAUGACGUCAAGUCAUCAUGCCCCUUACGUCCUGGGCUACACACGUGCUACAAUGGCCGGUACAAAGGGAUGCGACACCGCGAGGUAGAGCUAAACCCAAAAAGCCGGUCUAAGUUCAGAUUGGAGUCUGCAACUCGACUCCAUGAAGGAGGAAUCGCUAGUAAUCGCGUAUCAGCACGACGCGGUGAAUACGUUCCCGGGCCUUGUACACACCGCCCGUCACACCACGAAAGCCAGCUGUACUCGAAGUCGCUGAG